UGGGGAAUUGUUCGCAAUGGGCGCAAGCCUGACGACGCAACGCCGCGUGGAGGAUGAAGACCUUCGGGUCGUAAACUCCUUUCGAUCGAGACGAAUGGCCUCCGGGUGAAUAAUCCGGAGGAGUGACGGUACCGAGAGAAGAAGCCCCGGCUAACUCCGUGCCAGCAGCCGCGGUAAUACGGGGGGGGCAAGCGUUGUUCGGAAUUACUGGGCGUAAAGGGCUCGUAGGUGGCCAACUAAGUCAGACGUGAAAUCCCUCGGCUUAACCGGGGAACUGCAUCUGAUACUGGAUGGCUUGAGUUUGGGAGAGGGACGCAGAAUUCCAGGUGUAGCGGUGAAAUGCGUAGAUAUCUGGAGGAACACCGGUGGCGAAGGCGGCGUCCUGGACCAAUACUGACACUGAUGAGCGACAGCCAGGGGAGCAAACGGG
rnacentral:rRNA from 1 species